rnacentral:SRP_RNA from 1 species
GCUGGGCAUGGUGGUGCAUGCCUGUAAUCCCAGCUACUUGGGAGGCUGAGGCACCAGAAUCACUUGAACCCAGGAGGCGGAGGUUGCAGUGAGCUGAGAUUGUACCACUGCACUCCAGCCUGGGUGACAGAGUGAGAUUCUGUCUCAA